AUUGAACGCUGGCGGCGUGCUUUACACAUGCAAGUCGGACGAGUGGCGGACGGGUGAGUAACGUAUCGGAAAGUACCGGGUAAAGGGGGAUAACUGUUGGAAAGGAUAGCUAAUACCGCAUAUUAUUCGAGCGGCCGAUGUAGGAUUAGCUGGUUGGCGGGGUAAAGGCUCACCAAGGCGACGAUCAGUAGCGGGUCUGAGAGGAUGACCCGCCACACUGGGACUGAGACACGGCCCAGACUCCUACGGGAGGCAGCAGUGGGGAAUUUUGGACAAUGGGCGCAAGCCUGAUCCAGCCAUGCCGCGUGUCUGAAGAAGGCCUUCGGGUUGUAAAGUACUUUUGUCAGGGAGGCGUUACCUGCAGAAUAAGCACCGGCUAACUCCGUGCCAGCCGCCGCGGUAAUUC
rnacentral:rRNA from 1 species